GUCUAUAUAGAUUCUUAAUAUAAAGUCUAACCUGCCCACUGAGUUAUUAAAGGGCUGCGGUAAUUUGACCGUGCAAAGGUAGCAUAAUCAGUAGUCUUUUAAUUGAAGGCUUGAAUGAACGGUUGGAUGAGGGAAAAACUGUCUCUUUUAUAAAUUGAAACUUGACCUUUAAGUGAAAAGGCUUAAAUUAACUAAGGGGACGAUAAGACCCUAUAAAACUUAAUAUAAAUUAUAUUUUGUUCUUAAAUUAUAAAUAAUCAUAAUAAAAUCUAGUUUAUAUUUUGUUGGGGAGAUAUUGAUAUAAAUUGUAACUGUCUAAUCUAAAAAAUAUAAUUAUUAUUAUAAUGUGAUCCUUCACUGGGGAUAAAAAGAAUAAGUUACUUUAGGGAUAACAGCGUAAUUUUUUCUGAGAGUUCUUAUCGAAGAAAGUAGUUGCGACCUCGAUGUUGAAUUAAAAUUUCAGUUAGGUGUAGCCGCUUAGCU
rnacentral:rRNA from 1 species